rnacentral:rRNA from 1 species
CCUACGGGAGGCAGCAGUGAGGAAUAUUGGUCAAUGGGCUUACGCCUGAACCAGCCAAGUCGCGUGAGGGAAGACUGCCCUAUGGGUUGUAAACCUCUUUUGUCAGGGAGCAAUUGGCGCUACGUGUAGCGUUACCGAGAGUACCUGAAGAAAAAGCAUCGCCUAACUCCGUGCCAGCAGCCGCGGUAAUACGGAGGAUGCGAGCGUUAUCCGGAUUUAUUGGGUUUAAGGGGUGCGUAGGCGGAAUGCCAAGUCAGCGGUAAAAUCGCGGGGCUCAACCUCGCUCCGCCGUUGAAACUGGCGUGCUAGAGUGGGCGAGAAGUAUGCGGAAUGCGUGGUGUAGCGGUGAAAUGCAUAGAUAUCACGCAGAACUCCGAUUGCGAAGGCAGCAUACCGGCGCCCAACUGACGCUGAGGCACGAAAGCGUGGGUAUCGAACAGGAUUAGAUACCCGGGUAGUC